rnacentral:lncRNA from 1 species
GUGUACAGGCCGGGUGUAAUUAAUAUCUUCGCGAUAUUAAUAUAUUCUUCUUUCCAAAAUAAAUAAAUAAAUUCGAGCAGCAGCAACACUGAGUUGCACGAGUUAACAUGACCACUUAAUUUUUAGCUUCUGUGUAGUAACUUUCAUUUAUUUUUUAAUAUGUAAUGUACUCCUUCUAAUAUUCUUACGUGCAAAGUAUUGGUAGAGUUGUGGCCGGGUUGCCAGAACUGAUGUUGCCUUCUUUUUUUCUUGAUACUCACUAUAUUUCUGGACAAGGUAGUAGAGAAUGGCAUCAAGAUCCUCUUCAAUAGCUCAUUCAGCUUAGCUCAGACAUAGUGAGAAAUCUUAUAUUCAGAAAUAUAAGAUUUUUUUCAUCAAUAUUCAGAAAUAUAAGAUUUUUUUCUUGACACGGAAUUUGACGGUGAACAAUUAUAGGACAUGAGAAUUUAAAAUCUUAUAUUUCUGAAUAUUAUAAGAGUCUUUUUAGUGCACCUAGGGAGUCGUCGAUAUCCUUAGAUGAAAACAAGGUUAACGAUAUAUCUCAACUCAAUGAACAGGAGAAUGAGGUUUUAUCAGCCCCGUUUACAGAAAAAGAGGUGUAUGAAGCAAUUACUAGCAUGAAACAAAAUACAGCGCCGAGACCUGAUGGGUUUCCGACAGAGUUUUAUAAAAAGUGUUGGCACCUGAUUAAGGGGGAUCUCAUGCCUAUGUUCCAAGAUUUGUUCAAUGGACAAUUACAGUUAUUCCACCUUAACUUUGGAACAAUUACGCUGUUGUCAAAAACGGCGGAUGCUAUGUGUAUACAGCAGUUUAGACCGAUUUGCUUGCUUAAUGUCAGUUUCAAAAUUUUCACAAAGGUUGCCACUAAUAGAUUAACGAAGAUAGCAGAUUCUGUGGUUCAGCCAACACAGUCGGCGUUUAUGCCAGGGAGACACAUCUUGGAGGGUGUGGUUGUCCUGCACGAAACGGUCCACGAAAUGCACAGAAAAAACUAGACGGAGUUAUUUUUAAAGUGGACUUUGAGAAAGCCUAUGAUAAAGUCAAAUGGUCUUUCCUGCAAUAAGCCUUAAGGAUGAAAGGAUUCAAUGAAAGAUGGAGAAAGCAGGUUGAUACUUUCAUCAACAAAGGGAGUGUAGGAGUGAAGGUAAAUGAUGACAUUGGUCACUACUUCCAAACGCAUAAGGGGUUAAGGCAGGGUGACUCAAUGUCUCCGGUGUUGUUUAACAUAGUAGCAGAUAUGUUGACGAUACUCAUUGAUAGGGCCAAACACAUGGGUCGUGGAGGUGGUUUUAUUCCACAUCUGAUUGAUGGGGGGAUUUCCAUUUUACAAUAUGCAGAUGAUACAAUUAUUUUCAUGGAGCAUGAUAUGCAGAAAGCGAUUAAUAUGAAAUUGGUGUUAUGUUUAUUUGAACAACUGUCAGGGUUAAAAAUAAACUUUAACAAAAGUGAACUCAUUUGCUUUGGAAAAGCAAAAGAGGAGCAGGAUGCUUAUAGACAGUUAUUUGGAUGUCAAAUAGGAGCACUUCCAAUUAACUACCUCGGGAUUCCGAUUCAUCAUAGGCGACUAACAAUUAAAGAGUGGAAAUGCAUUGAAGAACGAUUUGAAAAGAAAUUAAGCUGCUGGAAGGGUAAGCUUAUGUCCUAUGGAGGAAGGCUGGUGUUAAUUAAUUCGGUGUUAACAAGCCUACCCAUGUUCUUAUUGUCUUUCUUUGAGAUACCCGUAGGGGUACGAAAAAGAUUAGAUUUUUACAGAUCGCGGUUCUUUUGGCAAAGUGAUGAUAAUAAGAAGAAAUACAGAUUGACGCAUUGGGAUAUAAUUUGCAGACCCAAAGACCAGGGGGAUUGGGCAUAGAGAAUCUGGAAGUAAAAAACAGAUGUCUACUCAGUAAAUGGUUGUAUAGAUUAUCCACAGAGACAGAAGAAAUGUGGAUUCAAAUAAUUAAGAAUAAAUACCUGAGCUCAAAAUCACUAGCGCAGGCUACUGCUAGACCUGAUGACUCUCCUUUUUGGAAAGGGUUAAUGAAGAUUAAGAUCAAUUUCUUCGAGAGGGUGAAAUUUAUUGUAGGGAAUGGUGCAUCAACAAGAUUUUGGGAAGAUACUUAGCUUGAACAUACUCCGCUAGCACUACAAUACCCCAUGCUUUACAAUAUUGUUCAACGUAAGCAUGACUAUGUGUCCACAGUGUUACAAUCGACUCCUCUUAAUAUAAACUUCCGACGGUCGUUAGUAGGAGUACGUUGGGAGGCAUGGUUGCAUUUGGUAAGAAGGAUUAUGAACGUACAAUUAUCUGUCCAACCGGAUAAGAUUCGUUGGAUAUUAUCUCGGAAUGGCAGCUUCUCUGUGAAGUCCAUGUAUACGGAGUCCAUGUAUACGGAUCUGAUUAACACAUGACCUUUUCUUAGAUCAAUUCACAUUUGGGAAGUCAAAGUAUCCCUAAGAAUCAAGAUUUUCAUGUGGUUUUUGCACAAAGGUGUGAUUUUGACCAAAGAUAAUCUAAUUAAAUGUAGUUGGAGAGGCAGAGCUAAAUGUUGUUUUUGUGACCAGGAUGAAACAAUAACACAUCUGUUCUUACAUUGCCCUCUUGCAAAACUACUUUGGCGCACGGUGCAUAUAGCUUUUAAUGUGCCCCCACCUACAUGCAUUAAUGCGAUAUUCGCAACGUGGCUCAAUGGAGUAGACGUGCGAAUUUCUAGACUGAUUAGGAUUGGAGUAUGUGCUCUAUUUUGGGCUAUAUGGAACACCAGGAAUGACUUGAUUUUUAAUGGCAACAAAUUCAAUAACUUUUUGCAGGUCAUUUACAGAGCAACUUAUUGGAUCCAUACGUGGUCAUUACUCAGUCAUGUGGACUCCAGGGAGCUUAUGGAUAUUGGGUGCAACCGAUGGGAGAUGGCCGCACGGGUUAUCUUCAACCGAUUUGGAUGACAUGUUAGCAAUAGACUAGGUGUAUAGGCAUCGGAAUCUAUUAUUUUCGCCGGAUGUGGCAGUUCGCUCUUUUAUUUUUAUUUUUUUCAUUGCGAGAUGCAAUUUGUUUUGAAACUUGAAUUAUACUUUGUUAUUUUAAUAAUAUGGCUGCAUGCAUCGAUUGAUGCAGAGGCCGGAGGUCAAGCCUCCAUUUCCAAAAAAAAAAAACUCAGACAUGCUACUUGAUCACAAGUCAGGUCGAAUUUGAUGCCCAGAGUGUAUCCUCCUGCAUGCUGUGGUGUCCCAUGGAUCCGGAAGUUCUUUGGAAGACAUCCAGCCUGAUCCUAGUCAGAGUAGAAAUGAACGGACAAAGAACGCGCAACUAAGAUAAUUUCUUCUGACGCCAUCCAUUCCCAAAACGCAUCACUGUUUGCUUGAUAGCAAGUCCAUAUGUAACUUGUCUUGCACUUGUAACUCAUCAUCUCUCUUUUCCAGUAUUGUCCGAUAUACAACAUUUAUAUGCUAUGAUUAGAAAAAGAGAAUAAGCAGUUUUGAGCAUGUAGGAGUGAAAGAGAAGUAUAUAUGGGCUGCGUUGGCUAAGUUAUUGCUAUGGGUUCAGGAGGUGGGUAGGGUCAUUGUCG